rnacentral:lncRNA from 1 species
CAAUCAAGCCACCUUUAAUGAGAUUUGCCUUAUAAAUUAAAACGUAUCUGGCAAAGAACAAGAGUGAGGAUCCAUACUGGCCUCCCCAAAGUGUCCUCACUCUGACCAGUGGACCUCUCCCACAGGCCUAGUCAGUCCAGCAGCCUUGUUUCUUCUACUCCCACAACUUCCGGGGACUGGUCAUCACUUGACUCCUCUGGUCCCCCGGCCCCUCCCACCCUCAGGGAGUCUAAAGGCUCUGCAUAUAGGGCUGGAGGGCUGCCCAGGGGUUCCUGGGGAACAGGAGUGGGAGCCAUCUUCCCCUCUGUCUCCCCAUCAUGGGAGUCAGUUCUGGUGAUAUCUUGUCCCUGUCCCACCUUUCCUUGGGCUUUCUGCUGCUGGAUAGCAGCCUCAACUGCCUGAAAGAUGUCAUUUCCCUGGGCAGUCUGGAAGGUGAAGGUCCCAGGGCCAGAGGGGCAGCGGCGACCCGCUUCAAAGGAGAACAUUACCUGGUCUCGGCCAUAGCGUCGCAACAGAGUGUAGGGCCAGAAAAGGAGCGGCUCCAGG